GCCAGGUGCAGUGGCGCGUGCCUGUAGUCCCAGCUACUCUGGAGGCUGAGGUGGGAGGGUCGCUUGAGCCCAGGAGUUCUGAGCUGUAGUGCGUUAUGCCGAUUGGGUGUCGGCACUAAGUUUGGCAUCAAUAUGGUGACCUCCCGGGACCAGAGGACCACCAGGUUGCCUAAGGAGGGGAGAACUGCCCCAGGUCUGGCCCAGGUCAGAAACGGAACAGGUCAAAACCCCCGUGCUGAUCAGUAGUGAGACUGAGCCUGUGAACAGCCACUGCACUCCAGCCUGGGCAACAUAGGGAAACCCCGUCUCU
rnacentral:SRP_RNA from 1 species